rnacentral:rRNA from 1 species
GAUGAACGCUGGCGGCGUGCUUAAUACAUGCAAGUCGAACGGAGAUAGUAGCAAUAUUAUCUUAGUGGCGAACGGGUGAGUAACGCGUUGGUGACCUGCCCCGAAGAGAGGGAUAACAGUUCGAAAGGACUGAUAAUACCUCAUGUGGUUGUCGGUUUUAGAAUCCGAUAACUAAACGGAUUUAUUCGCUUCGGGAGGGGCCUGCGUCCCAUCAGCUAGUUGGUAGGGUAAUGGCCUACCAAGGCUAUGACGGGUAGGGGACCUGAGAGGGUGGCCCCCCACAAUGGAACUGAAACACGGUCCAUACACCUACGGGUGGCUG